GACGAACCGUGCAAACGUUAUUCGGAAUCACUGGGCAUAAAGGGCACGUAGGCGGCUUGAUCAGCGUGCGGUGAAAGCCCGGGGCUCAACCCCGGGUCGGCCGUGCGAACUGUCGAGCUGGAGCACUGUAGAGGCAGGUGGAAUUCCGGGUGUAGCGGUGAAAUGCGCAGAUAUCAGGAGGAACACCGAUGGCGAAGGCAGGUCUCUGGGCCACUACUGACGCUGAGAAGCGAAAGCAUGGGGAGCGAACAGG
rnacentral:rRNA from 1 species